GACGAACGCUGGCGGCGUGCCUAAUACAUGCAAGUAGAACGCUGAAGGAGGAGCUUGCUUCUCUGGAUGAGUUGCGAACGGGUGAGUAACGCGUAGGUAACCUGCCUGGUAGCGGGGGAUAACUAUUGGAAACGAUAGCUAAUACCGCAUAAGAGUAGAUGUCGCAUGACAUUUGCUUAAAAGGUGCAAUUGCAUCACUACCAGAUGGACCUGCGUUGUAUUAGCUAGUUGGUGAGGUAACGGCUCACCAAGGCAACGAUACAUAGCCGACCUGAGAGGGUGAUCGGCCACACUGGGACUGAGACACGGCCCAGACUCCUACGGGAGGCAGCAGUGGGGAAUCUUCGGCAAUGGACGGAAGUCUGACCGAGCAACGCCGCGUGAGUGAAGAAGGUUUUCGGAUCGUAAAGCUCUGUUGUAAGAGAAGAACGAGUGUGAGAGUGGAAAGUUCACACUGUGACGGUAUCUUACCAGAAAGGGACGGCUAACUACGUG
rnacentral:rRNA from 1 species